GAAGCCCCCCCGGUAAACGGCGGCCGUAACUAUAACGGUCCUAAGGUAGCGAAAUUCCUUGUCGGGUAAGUUCCGACCUGCACGAAUGGCGUAAUGAUGGCCAGGCUGUCUCCACCCGAGACUCAGUGAAAUUGAACUCGCUGUGAAGAUGCAGUGUACCCGCGGCAAGACGGAAAGACCCCGUGAACCUUUACUAUAGCUUGACACUGAACAUUGAGCCUUGAUGUGUAGGAUAGGUGGGAGGCUUUGAAGCGUGGACGCCAGUCUGCGUGGAGCCGACCUUGAAAUACCACCCUUUAAUGUUUGAUGUUCUAACGUGGACCCGUWAYCCGGGUUGCGGACAGUGUCUGGUGGGUAGUUUGACUGGGGCGGUCUCCUCCUAAAGAGUAACGGAGGAGCACGAAGGUUGGCUAAUCCUGGUCGGACAUCAGGAGGUUAGUGCAAUGGCAUAAGCCAGCUUGACUGCGAGCGUGACGGCGCGAGCAGGUGCGAAAGCAGGUC
rnacentral:rRNA from 1 species